rnacentral:rRNA from 1 species
ACUGUCAAGAAAAGCUUCUAUCGAGUUUAAAGGCGCCCGUACCGUAAACCGACACAGGUGGGUGAGGAGAGCAUCCUAAGGCCAGCGAGAGAACUAUUGUUAAGGAACUCGGCAAAAUGACCCCGUAACUUAGGGAGAAGGGGUGCCUGUCUAUGACAGGCCGCAGAGAAUAGGCCCAAGCGACUGUUUACCAAAAACACAGGUUUCUGCUAAGUCGCAAGACGAUGUAUAGGAGCUGACGCCUGCCCGGUGCUGGAAGGUUAAGGGGAUCUGUUAGAGCAAUCGAAGCAGUGAACUUAAGCCCCAGUAAACGGCGGCCGUAACUAUAACGGUCCUAAGGUAGCGAAAUUCCUUGUCGGGUAAGUUCCGACCCGCACGAAAGGCGUAACGAUUUGGGCACUGUCUCAACAAUAGACUCGGUGAAAUUGUAAUCCCGGUGAAGAUGCCGGGUACCUGCGACAGGACGGAAAGACCCCAUGGAGCUUUACUGUAGCUUGACGUUGGGUCUUGGUACUACAUGUACAGGAUAGGUGGGAGACUAUGAAGCAUGGACGCCAGUCUGUGUGGAGUCAUCCUUGGGAUACCACCCUUGUAGUACUGGGAUCCUAACCAUAGGCCUUGAAUCAGGUCUUGGAACACCGUCAGGUGGGCAGUUUGACUGGGGCGGUCGCCUCCUAAAAAGUAACGGAGGCGCUCAAAGGUUUCCUCAGCACGGUCGGAAAUCGUGCGAAGAGUGUAAAGGCAAAAGGAAGCUUGAUUGCAAGACAUACAGGUCGAGCAAGGACGAAAGUCGGACUUAGUGAUCCGGUGGUACCGCAUGGAAGGGCCAUCGCUCAACGGAUAAAAGCUACCCUGGGGAUAACAGGCUUAUCUCCCCCAAGAGUCCACAUCGACGGGGAGGUUUGGCACCUCGAUGUCGGCUCAUCACAUCCUGGGGCUGUAGUAGGUCCCAAGGGUUGGGCUGUUCGCCCAUUAAAGUGGUACGCGAGCUGGGUUCAGAACGUCGUGAGACAGUUCGGUCCCUAUCCGUCGCAGGCGUAGGAAAUUUGAGAAGACCUGUCCUUAGUACGAGAGGACCGGGAUGGACGUACCUCUGGUGUACCAGUUGUUCUGCCAAGGGCAUGGCUGGGUAGCUAUGUACGGAAUGGAUAAGCGCUGAAAGCAUCUAAGCGCGAAGCCAACUUCAAGAUAAGAUUUCCCACCGU